rnacentral:tRNA from 1 species
AGCCCUGAGGUGAAUUUUCAUAUUGAAUUGCAAAUUCAAAGGAGCAGCUUCAAUUCUGCCGGGGCUUC